AGUGAACGCUGGCGGUAGGCCUAACACAUGCAAGUCGAACGGCAGCACAGGAGAGCUUGCUCUCUGGGUGGCGAGUGGCGGACGGGUGAGGAAUACAUCGGAAUCUACUCUGUCGUGGGGGAUAACGUAGGGAAACUUACGCUAAUACCGCAUACGACCUACGGGUGCAAGCAGGGGACCUUCGGGCCUUGCGCGAUUGAAUGAGCCGAUGUCGGAUUAGCUAGUUGGCGGGGUAAAGGCCCACCAAGGCGACGAUCCGUAGCUGGUCUGAGAGGAUGAUCAGCCCCACUGGAACUGAGACACGGUCCAGACUCCUACGGGAGGCAGCAGUGGGGAAUAUUGGACAAUGGGCGCAAGCCUGAUCCAGCCAUACCGCGUGGGUGAAGAAGGCCUUCGGGUUGUAAAGCCCUUUUGUUGGGAAAGAAAUCCAGCUGGCUAAUACCCGGUUGGGAUGACGGUACCCAAAGAAUAAGCACCGGCUAACUUCGUGCCAGCCGCCGCAGUAA
rnacentral:rRNA from 1 species